rnacentral:rRNA from 1 species
GACGUAGGGGGCAAGCGUUGUCCGGAAUUACUGGGCGUAAAGGGCGCGUAGGCGGCCUGUUAAGUGUAUAGUGAAAGCCCGGGGCUCAACCCCGGAACUGCUGUGCAUACUGGCAGGCUUGAGGGAUGCAGAGGCUUGUGGAAUUCCUGGUGUAGCGGUGAAAUGCAUUGAUAUCAGGAGGAACACCCAUGGCGAAGGCAGCAAGCUGGGCAUCAUAUGACGCUGAGGCGCGAAAGCGUGGGGAGCAAACAGG